GGCGAGGAACAACAAGGCAACAAUCCAGGUCAACGCGAGGGCAAAGGUUAGCGAACACAAGGUCAGAUCAAGUUAGAGGUGCAAUAUUUAUUAGCUGCUCAGCGGGUCAUUUCAACCGAGAAACUAAUCAGGGAUUGUGCCUUUAACGAGGGCUCCGAUAGGUCCUUUCAGGACUGCAACGGCUCCGCCUUACAGAACACUUGAAUUACUAUUGGAACCCAUUGGUGAGGUAAAGCACACGGACACUAAUCUACACCGAGUGUACUAAACAUUAGGACAUAGACUGACCAGGUAAAGCACACUGACACUAAUCUACACCGAGUGUACUAAACAUUAGGACAUAGACUGACCAGGUAAAGCACACGGACACUAAUCUACACCGAGUGUACUAAACAUUAGGACAUAGACUGACCAGGUAAAGCACACUGACACUAAUCUACACCGAGUGUACUAAACAUUAGGACAUAGACUGACCAGGUUCAGCACACGGACACUAAUCUACACCGAGUGUACUAAACAUUAGGACAUAGACUGACCAGGUUCAGCACACGGACACUAAUCUACACCGAGUGUACUAAACAUUAGGACAUAGACUGACCAGGUAAAGCACACGGACACUAAUCUACACCGAGUGUACUAAACAUUAGGACAUAGACUGACCAGGUAAAGCACACUGACACUAAUCUACACCGAGUGUACUAAACAUUAGGACAUAGACUGACCAGGUAAAGCACACUGACACUAAUCUACACCGAGUGUACUAAACAUUAGGACAUAGACUGACCAGGUAAAGCACACGGACACCAAUCUACACCGAGUGUACUAAACAUUAGGACAUAGACUGACCAGGUAAAGCACACUGACACUAAUCUACACCGAGUGUACUAAACAUUAGGACAUAGACUGACCAGGUUCAGCACACGGACACUAAUCUACACCGAGUGUACUAAACAUUAGGACAUAGACUGACCAGGUUCAGCACACGGACACUAAUCUACACCGAGUGUACUAAACAUUAGGACAUAGACUGACCAGGUUCAGCACACGGACACUAAUCUACACCGAGUGUACUAAACAUUAGGACAUAGACUGACCAGGUUCAGCACACGGACACUAAUCUACACCGAGUGUACUAAACAUUAGGACAUAGACUGACCAGGUUCAGCACACGGACACUAAUCUACACCGAGUGUACUAAACAUUAGGACAUAGACUGACCAGGUAAAGCACACGGACACUAAUCUACACCGAGUGUACUAAACAUUAGGACAUAGACUGACCAGGUAAAGCACACUGACACUAAUCUACACCGAGUGUACUAAACAUUAGGACAUAGACUGACCAGGUAAAGCACACGGACACCAAUCUACACCGAGUGUACUAAACAUUAGGACAUAGACUGACCAGGUUCAGCACACGGACACUAAUCUACACCGAGUGUACUAAACAUUAGGACAUAGACUGACCAGGUAAAGCACACUGACACUAAUCUACACCGAGUGUACUAAACAUUAGGACAUAGACUGACCAGGUUCAGCACACGGACACUAAUCUACACCGAGUGUACUAAACAUUAGGACAUAGACUGACCAGGUUCAGCACACGGACACUAAUCUACACCGAGUGUACUAAACAUUAGGACAUAGACUGACCAGGUAAAGCACACUGACACUAAUCUACACUGAGUGUACUAAACAUUAGGACAUAGACUGACCAGGUAAAGCACACGGACACUAAUCUACACCGAGUGUACUAAACAUUAGGACAUAGACUGACCAGGUUCAGCACACGGACACUAAUCUACACCGAGUGUACUAAACAUUAGGACAUAGACUGACCAGGUUCAGCACACGGACACUAAUCUACACCGAGUGUACUAAACAUUAGGACAUAGACUGACCAGGUAAAGCACACUGACACUAAUCUACACCGAGUGUACUAAACAUUAGGACAUCGACUGGAGUCGACAAGGGGCCAGCAUCCCCGCGGAACGCUUUCGACACCUUGCAGAGUCCGCGCCCCGACGAGAACUGAAGCUCUUCUGAGGGCCAAAGGGGUUGCGCCUCAAUAUCAGGAAGUCGUCCUGUCCACCUCAGUGUAUACGGCGC